AGUGAACGCUGGCGGUAGGCCUAACACAUGCAAGUCGAACGGCAGCACGGGAGCAAUCCUGGUGGCGAGUGGCGAACGGGUGAGUAAUGUAUCGGAACGUGCCCAGUCGUGGGGGAUAACGUAGCGAAAGCUACGCUAAUACCGCAUACGAUCUGUGGAUGAAAGCGGGGGACCGUAAGGCCUCGCGCGAUUGGAGCGGCCGAUAUCAGAUUAGGUAGUUGGUGGGGUAAAGGCCUACCAAGCCGACGAUCUGUAGCUGGUCUGAGAGGACGACCAGCCACACUGGGACUGAGGCACGGCCCAGACUCCUACGGGAGGCAGCAGUGGGGAAUUUUGGACAAUGGGCGCAAGCCUGAUCCAGCAAUGCCGCGUGCAGGAUGAAGGCCUUCGGGUUGUAAACUGCUUUUGUGCGGAGCGAAAAGGCUCUCUCUAAUACAGGGGGCUCAUGACGGUACCGUAAGAAUAAGCACCGGCUAACUACGUGCCAGCAGCCGCGGUAA
rnacentral:rRNA from 1 species